UAUCCAGUUGAUUCCAUUCCAUUCCAUUGCAUUCCAUUCCAUUCCAAUCGGGUUGAUUUCAUUGCACUCCAUUCCAUUCCAUUCCAUUCCAUUCCAAUCCUUUCCAUUCCAUUCCAUUCCUGUCCAUUCCAUUCCAUUGCAUUCCAUUCCUUUCCACUGGUGUAUAUUCCAUUCCACUCCAUUCCAUUGCAUUCCAUUCCAUUCCAUUACAUUACAUUACAUUUCAUUCCACUCGAGUUGAUUCCAUUCCAUUCCGUACCAUUCCAUUCCAUUCCAUUCCAUUCCAUUCCAUUCCAUUCCAUUCGUGUUUAUUCCAUUCCAUCCCAUUCCAUUCCACUCGG
rnacentral:lncRNA from 1 species